GUCAGGGCUUAGAGGAGCUGCCUGCAAGAAACAUCAAGGAGCCAAACCAUCCAUGUUGUCCCAUCUGCAUGCACCUAUUUAAGCCUUUGCACCACUGGCACCAGAAAACUGGCUUAGGCUCCCAACAAUCUACUUCCUCCUCCACACUGCAGAUUUUAACAAAAUUGUUUUGCACAGCACUAUCCCAGCUCUGAAAUUCACUGCAGCUUAUAUGCAACUGUCGAAACUUGCCAGAUGCUAGGAUAUUCCCUGAUUAAAUUAUACAUGUGCCUUACUUCCAAACAGAGUUUUUUAAACCUGGAAAAAAGGAAUCUUGUAUGCUGUCCACAGUUUCUCUUGGCAAUGCUUUGUGAGAAAUACAAGGGGUCCCGUGUUACCAUACCCUUGUAUAGUCAGCAGGAAAUGUUCUCUCCAUAGUGUCCCCACAAGGCUGUGCCAGGGGUGACAUGAGAGUGACAUGAGCCUGGGAACUCUGCUGACUCCUGCACAGACCUGCAGCUUUCAGUCAUGGACAGCACAUCCAGGCCUGGGGGCUGCAGUGGGUGUGAUUUUGGAGCUUUCUGGAGCAUUUUAUCUUCAAUUUCUAAUAAGGGUCCUGAUGGAUGACAAGAAUUCUCUGGAUGCAUACAGCAGUUCUGUAACUGCCCUUAGCGUGUCACUUGGUGUGGAUUGGUCAGAACAGGAGAACAAAAAGCUUGACAUCAAGUUCAUGAUGCACUCCCACUAGUUUCUCAGUACAUUUAUCUACAUUUCUAUGGGAAGAUACAGAAGGGAACCAAAAAGAUGUAUGGAAAACAAGCACAAUGAAAUAAGCUCAAGAAAGAGACUGAAUCACUCCACAAUUAUGGAGAAAGGAAAUGAAAAAAGGAAUAUUUAGCUACAUAGGAGACAGGAAUGAUGAACAUCAUCACGUAUAUUAUUUCUACAUAUUCCAAAUUUAUCUCAUGACUGUAUUCAUUCAUUUAAUUACAGUACUUACAUGUGAGUGACUUUGCUUAAACUGUUGAAGGAAUGGGCCUCCAGACUCUGAAGUGUUUCAUCUAUGGAGAUGUAACUAAACACCAGCAAACAGAAAAAUAAACAGGCCUCAGACACUGGGAAGCCACAGCUAGUGCCCAUCAUGCCGCUUCAUUUGUCAUCUCAUUAUUUUUCUCAUCCAGCUAUGAUGGCACUCAGAAAGAGAGCAGGAUUUAAAUCAGAUCAACACUUGUCAGCAGCCACAAGGCUGCUUAUUUUCCCAGCCCUUAUUUUCUUCCUUCUCCCUCUCUCCACCUUUCUUUGCUUUUUUCCAACCUCAGCAUCCCCCGUAUUGCUGCCCCUGUUGUCCUCUGCUGCUGAUGGAGAGCAGCUUGGUGACCCGUGGGGCACUUCAGGAGAGGACAGGCAGGAGCAGGGAAGGCCCUGGAGGCUGAGCUGAGGCUGGGCUGUGUCAGCUGGCACUGGGGGCACAGGAGGUGCAGACACGUGUGAGCUGUGGGGAGCUGAGUGCCCAGGGUGGGAAAGGCACUGUGC